GGACCCAGAGCGCUGUCGCCAUGGGAAGCCGGCUGUUCCUGUUCGCCGUGCUGCUGAGUUGUCUGAUGGCCACGCAGCUGACGAGCUGGACGGGUGCUUCGCCGCCUCCCGGGGUGUUCCGGGCUCCCUGCUUCGGCAGCCUGCCGCAGUUCUCCGUCACCUUCACCAUCAACAACGGUACGGCGUCCACAAAUUCUUCGACGGGUUAGGAACUCCCUACAUCCAAGUUGGCAACAGUAUAACGUUCCACGUCAAACUUCAAGUCCAGCAUGUUCUUGAGGAUUUUCAACGACGACCAGUGUAACCCAGCAAUGGCGUACGUCCAUGAAAUUAUUCUGAAUAAUAAUAAAAAAAGAUGUGUAAUGUAAAUGUGUAGUUCGGCGUACUGUGGAUAAAUUUGAACGUAUUGCAAGGAGGUUUAUUUUGGAAACAUACACUGUAUUUUUUUUUGUAAAUGAAACAGAAAUAUUAAUGAAAAAUUACAGAUAUUUGUAAAUUUGUACAUUUACACGAAAACAACUGUAUCACUAAAAAAUAGUGUUCGCAUUUACACUGAGUUCGGAUUCUUACCCGGGAAUUUAUGCUUUGUGUUGUCCCAGUACCUUCAAUAGUUAAAGUUAUUUGAAAACCGUUUUCUGAAUAGAUUUCCAGUAUAAUCUGCGCACAUUAAUAAGCAUAAUAAAACAAAUGAUGUCCAGU